GAUGAACGCUGGCGGCGUGCCUAAUACAUGCAAGUCGAGCGAACGGACGAGAAGCUUGCUUUUCUGAUGUUAGCGGCGGACGGGUGAGUAACACGUGGAUAACCUACCUAUAAGACUGGGAUAACUUCGGGAAACCGGAGCUAAUACCGGAUAAUAUUUUGAACCGCAUGGUUUAAAAGUGAAAGACGGUCUUGCUGUCACUUAUAGAUGGAUCCGCGCUGCAUUAGCUAGUUGGUAAGGUAACGGCUUACCAAGGCAACGAUGCGUAGCCGACCUGAGAGGGUGACGGCCCACAUGGAACUGGGGCACCGGCCAAGCCCCCAACGGAGGCCAGAGGAGGGAAAUCUCCGCAAAGGGCGGAAGCCUUACCGAGCAACGCCGGGUGAGUGAUGGAAGUCUUCCGAUCGUAAAACUCUGUUAUUUGGGAAGAACAUAUGUGGAAGGAACUGUGCACAUCUUGACGGUAACUAAUCAAAAAGCCACCGCUAACUACGUG
rnacentral:rRNA from 1 species